GCGAGCUUGUGCCGCUCUCCUGGGGCUGCCGGGGGCCUUGGAGGCCGCCGGGGUCAACGCCCUUUGUCCCCGCUUACAGAGGGGGAAACUGAGGCCGAGGGCGGGCAGGAUUCGCGGCAGCGCGCGACCCGGUGGCACAGGGUGCAGUCGGCAGGAGGCAGGGCACAGAACAUGGGAUACGUGACCCAGGAGCAGAGCCAGGAGCCGUGUUCUCCCUGGGCCUCAGCAACCAUCUAGCAGGAGAGGGGCGGGAACCCGAGACCAGAGACACCAUGGCUCUGGGGAUGGCCAAACU